CUUACACUUGAGUGUCUAAAACUAGGUAGAGAGUAAGUAGAAAUGAUAAUGGACCUAUACUGUAUAUUUAGAACUGCCCACCCGUGGCUGAGAGCCUAUAUCCUCCUUUUGAGAUCACCACACUUUCUACCAUCAUUGCCAGUAACAUCCAGCUCACUGUUAAUGUUUCCUCAGGAUGGUCUCCCUUUUUUAAAGAGCUUGCUGAAAGCUUUCUCCGCUAAAUGGCCUGUACUUAAGUAUUUUUGUUGAUGUUUUAGUUAUUGGUCGUGUUCCAGAUCAAAUACAGUAUAUGGACAAAUGUAUGUGGACACCUGCUGAUCGUCGAACAUCUCAUUUCAAAAUCAUGGGUAUUAAUAUGGAGUUGGUCUCCCCCUUUGCUGCUAUAACAGCCUCCACUCUUCUGGGAAGGCUUCCACUUGAUGUUGGAACAUUGCUGCGGGGACUUACUUCCAUUCAGCCACAAGCAUUAGGGAGAUCUGCCGGACAUCGUCACGGAUGGGGUCCUGCAGGGCUUGUACCCCCGAGACAUCCGUGUCAGCUUCACAGCCUGCACAAAACCCAGCCUCCCAGAGAGACCCAGUCUGGCUCCAGCGAUUCCCUCUAUAUAGUGGCAGCCCAUGCAGAAGUCCUGACACUCGGAUCUGUGGAUUUUUAAAAUGGCCUUGAUAGUAAUUUGGAUGAAUGUCAUGUCUGAAUCAGCAACCAAUGGAGGCCCAUUUGCUUGUAUAGUACCAUACAAUAGAACAUGUUUGUUACUCUGGGUGCUUGCAAUAAUAAAUAGUGUUUAACAUGUUUUUUUUAAAUGACAACGCCAUCUCUGUACCCCACACAUCUGUAAGGUCCCUCAGUCGAGCAGUGAAUUUCAAACACAGAUUCAACCACAAAGACCAGGGAGGUUUUCCAAUGGUUUGCUAGGAAGGACACCUAUUGAAUGUCCCUUUGAGCAUGGGGAAGUUAUUAAUUACACUUAGGAUGGUGUAUCAAAGAUACAAGCGUCCUUCCUAACUCUGAGGAAGGAAACCGCUCAGAGAUUUCCUCAUGUGGCCAAUGGUGACUUUAAACCCGUUAAGAGUUUAAUGACUAAUACUAACCUAAUUGAAAGAGUGAAAAGAAAGAAGCCUGUACAGAAUAAAAAAUAUUCCUAAACAUG